GUGAAUCAUCGAGUCUUUGAACGCACCUUGCGCUCCUUGGUAUUCCGAGGAGCAUGCCUGUUUGAGUGUCAUUAAAUUCUCAACCUCACCAGUUUUGUUAUGAAACUGUGUAAGGCUUGGAUGUGGGGGUUUGUGCAGGUUGCCUUUGCGCGGUCUGCUCCCCUAAAAUGUAUUAGCGAGUUCACUGAGCUCCGUCUAUUGGUGUGAUAAUUAUCUACGCCGUGGAUUGGACUUAGACUUGCUUCUAACCGUCCGCAAGGACAAUCUUAUGACAAUUUGACCUCAAAUCAGGUAGGACUACCCGCUGAACUUAA
rnacentral:rRNA from 1 species